CACAGGGUGGAUCCAUGGCAGUUAAAUUGGCGCCAAGCAAGCUUCCACAAGAACUGCUGGUUCGGAGACGUGUCGUGCCUAAUUUCUCAAAAGGCCGAAUGAGACACAGAAGGCAAAAAUAG
rnacentral:lncRNA from 11 species